UCAUAGAGAGCAGGGAGAAGAGGGGAGAAAGAACCACCGUUUUUUUUUCUAAUAUACCUUUACCGCGUCGCAUGCAAGGCGAAGGAAGAUUGAGGAAAAUCGAGAGAGAGAAAAAUGAGUUCCUCGGCUAUCUUAUGUUGUUUUACGGACAAGGAGAGUAAACAUGUGGUGUGAUCAGGGGACACACGUUUCACGCAGUCAGUUGCAAGGUGGCAGUGGUGCGGAGACGGAGUAUGCGCCAGCUCGGUCUUACACUUAGUACUAACGUUCGGCAACCUAGACAGAUCGGAUACAUGCGAAGUGCCCGUAUGGUAACUGUUGUUGGAUGCCUGGCCUGCUAGCAUGCUGUAAUAUGGGACGUUCAAGACUUUUCUCCAUUCUC